rnacentral:rRNA from 1 species
GAACUUCCGUUAAUUGAUUAUGACGUACUUGUACUGAUUGAGAUUUUAACACGAAGUGAGUGGCGAACGGGUGAGUAACACGUGGGUAACCUGCCCAGAAGUAGGGGAUAACACCUGGAAACAGAUGCUAAUACCGUAUAACAGAGAAAACCGCAUGGUUUUCUUUUAAAAGAUGGCUCUGCUAUCACUUCUGGAUGGACCCGCGGCGUAUUAGCUAGUUGGUGAGGUAAAGGCUCACCAAGGCAGUGAUACGUAGCCGACCUGAGAGGGUAAUCGGCCACAUUGGGACUGAGACACGGCCCAGACUCCUACGGGAGGCAGCAGUAGGGAAUCUUCCACAAUGGACGCAAGUCUGAUGGAGCAACGCCGCGUGAGUGAAGAAGGGUUUCGGCUCGUAAAGCUCUGUUGUUAAAGAAGAACGUGGGUAAGAGUAACUGUUUACCCAGUGACGGUAUUUAACCAGAAAGCCACGGCUAACUACGUGCCAGCAGCCGCGGUAAUACGUAGGUGGCAAGCGUUAUCCGGAUUUAUUGGGCGUAAAGCGAGCGCAGGCGGUCUUUUAAGUCUAAUGUGAAAGCCUUCGGCUCAACCGAAGAAGUGCAUUGGAAACUGGGAGACUUGAGUGCAGAAGAGGACAGUGGAACUCCAUGUGUAGCGGUGAAAUGCGUAGAUAUAUGGAAGAACACCAGUGGCGAAGGCGGCUGUCUGGUCUGCAACUGACGCUGAGGCUCGAAAGCAUGGGUAGCGAACAGGAUUAGAUACCCUGGUAGUCCAUGCCGUAAACGAUGAUUACUAAGUGUUGGAGGGUUUCCGCCCUUCAGUGCUGCAGCUAACGCAUUAAGUAAUCCGCCUGGGGAGUACGACCGCAAGGUUGAAACUCAAAAGAAUUGACGGGGGCCCGCACAAGCGGUGGAGCAUGUGGUUUAAUUCGAAGCUACGCGAAGAACCUUACCAGGUCUUGACAUCUUCUGACAGUCUAAGAGAUUAGAGGUUCCCUUCGGGGACAGAAUGACAGGUGGUGCAUGGUUGUCGUCAGCUCGUGUCGUGAGAUGUUGGGUUAAGUCCCGCAACGAGCGCAACCCUUAUUACUAGUUGCCAGCAUUAAGUUGGGCACUCUAGUGAGACUGCCGGUGACAAACCGGAGGAAGGUGGGGACGACGUCAAAUCAUCAUGCCCCUUAUGACCUGGGCUACACACGUGCUACAAUGGAUGGUACAACGAGUCGCGAGACCGCGAGGUUAAGCUAAUCUCUUAAAACCAUUCUCAGUUCGGACUGUAGGCUGCAACUCGCCUACACGAAGUCGGAAUCGCUAGUAAUCGCGGAUCAGCAUGCCGCGGUGAAUACGUUCCCGGGCCUUGUACACACCGCCCGUCACACCAUGAGAGUUUGUAACACCCAAAGCCGGUGGGGUA